CAAGUAGUGGUUAUUUUACUGUACUUCCUUAGUUAGUUUAGGGACUCUUAUUUUGACAUUGCUAGUUUCAGGAUAUGACAUCACAUGUUCAUCCAUCUUUGUUUAGUUCAGAUGCCAUGCUUCAGAGUUACCUGACUUUCAUCCAAAGUAAUCCUUGUGUUUGUGUGCAUAAAUGACCAAAGUAAGUAACCAAAUAUUGUUGUUUAAAUAAGUUAAGUUUAUUUUGAUGCAUAUUUUGGUAUAUUUUUCCUGUUAUCCGGUAGUUAUUUGGUAGAUUGUGCUGAACCUACCUAGAUCACCUGUUGCCUAUGCGUAUAAUGUAAUUCUAGUUCAUCUACCUCAGUUAUGUGUAUCGUAGAUGCUAAUGAUUAUUAUGGAGCUUAGUGUGAAUUUAGCAGUAACUCUACAGACAGCAUUUGAGUUAUUUUAUCUUCAUUUCUGUUGUGUUUAGGAUCACGCAGAUGCAUUGUUAAAACCCAUGUAUGAUACCACCUAAAGUUAAUACAAGAAAGUCAAGUUUAAAUCAUCCAGUCUGGCGUCCUCCUUUCUGACCUAAUCCCCAUUCAACAUCCUUCUGGGCUUAAGUAGUGCUCUGGCCGGCACUCCUCUUGAUUGUGUCCGAUGGAAAACUGAACGGUGCAACCUAAUAGUUCAAAAUACAGUCCAACCACCUGCUAUCUUCCCUACAUUAAUGGUCCUUCGAGCCGGAUGUACAUUGCACUCAAUCAAGAUGGAUAUGAAAGAUGUUGAAUUCCUUGGUGCACGCCCUCGACGCCAGACACGCCCUCCUCUCCGUUAUGAAGAUUAUGAAGUAGACUACAGGGGGCUUGGUGCUCAUUGGCAUGAGGAGAAAAAUGAAUGUGGUGACAGUACUCCUCGCCAUCUCCUUAUUCACUCACCUGGUAAGAGCACAGCCUAUGAUGCAGAGCUACAAGACAUCCAGCAGGAGAGGCGUGUGUUACAGCACAUGUUGGAGCAGUCACUGCAGUCCCAGCAGUGCAUGUCAACAGGCCUGGCAGAACUUAAAGCAGUCCGUGCAGACAUGCUACAGCUGGUAAAUACUGCACGCAGCCUACAACAACCACACGAGGCACAUGGCUUUCAUUCAGCCACAGUGGAUGAUGAUGGAGGAUGGCCACCACCACCACCGUGGUUAAGCAACACCGGAGAUGUGCCACCUUCGAGUGAAGAGCCCAUGGUUGACCGCCUCGACCGGUUAAUGAGUGAACUGCAGCUAUUAAGAAAUGAGACACUAGCAGCCAAGCAGAAUGUAGCGCCAAUAGCCCAGCCGCUGUCGGCACCACCACCUAUCCAACCCUUUAGGCCCACCUACCCCAGCAUUAGCCACGCCCCUACAGUUACCCUGCAACAGCGCCCUGCAUGGUCCAGUUUGCCCCCACCUCCACCGCAGCUCACCUCCCCACUAUAUGGCGUGCCUCUGAACCCCACUGCACACCGCCCUCCAUCACUGCAACGUCCACCACCUCCUCCGGGUCCACCAUAUGCAACUAGACAGGCGCCAACUUACUCCAGACCAUCAUACCACACCUCUAUCGUAGAAUCAGCCUAUCGUGGCCCCCGUGCUACCAUACCCAACUUCUCUCAUCGAGAUCCUGGUGAGUUUACUCAUCUCAAGAUUGCCCUCGAGAACCUGCUACCUACUGAUAGCACCGAAAUGUUUAAGUAUCAGGUCUUAGUUGACCACCUGAAGCUAGAGGAGGCCAAACUGAUAGCUGAUGCCUACAUCCAUUCUCAGACACCCUUUACAGACACAAUGAUGGCCCUCAAUGAGAAGUUCGGACAGCCUCAUCAGCUGACCAUUAAGCGGAUCGCUGAGGUGAUGGACACACCUGACAUUAGACGUGGCGAUGCAGUGGCCUUCGACCAAUUCUCACUUCAGAUACAGUCACUGGUGGGAAUGUUGAAGACACUUGGUCCUGAGGGUGAGGUGGAGCUCCUAUGUGGUACCCAUGUUGCAAGGCUGCUCAGCAAGCUGCCCCCAGAACAAAGAGCUGAUUUCCGUAGAUGCAUGUUCAGCCAGUCUAAGAGAAGUUACACUCUCUACGACCUAGCUCAGUGGCUUAAGCAUGAAGCCUGGUGUCAGGAUUUUGAUGGCCAACUAUCUUCUAGAGGGGUGAGAGCCAAGCCCAGUGCUAAGACUAGCACCAACCCAAAGAAGCCCUCUGUAACUGUGCUGCAUGGAACAUACAGUACGCCUAAGGAGGUCAAACCUACAAGUGAUAGUCAAGGCAAGGUCAAGCCAGCACCCUACUGUGCAUUCUGCGACAACCGAGAACACCAUCUGAGUCAGUGCAUGGCCAUCAGUAAGCUAAACAAAGAACAGCUAACUGACUGGAUUAAGACCAACAAGAGAUGUUGGCGCUGUGCGCGCUCACACCAGGCGGCGCAGUGCACCCUAAAGAAGACCUGCAAUCUGUGUCAAGGUCGACACCUACAGGCACUACACAACGUCAAUACAGCGACUCAGGGAGGUCCCACCCAAGCAACAGUGCCAUCUCAAGGUGGCAGCACAACCUCCACUGAGGUAUUGUACCUGGAUCGGCCAGCUGAAGGCAGCAGAGUGCUGCUGAAAGUGGUCCCAGUGUUCCUGUACCAUGGCGGCCGCACUCUGGACACCUAUGCUGUAUUAGACGACGGGUCAGAGAGAACGAUGUUGCUGCCAGCUGCCAAUGAGGCAUUGGGUCUUCAUGGAACUCCUGAGUCCUUACCUCUACGUACAAUCCGGCAGGAUGUCCAAACCCUACACGGAGCCAACGUGUCCUUCGCCAUCGCCUCCAAGGCAAGACCUAAGACCAAGUAUCAGAUCACCAAUGCCUUCACCUCUACCCGCAUCGAUCUCGCCGACCAUACUUAUCCUCUGGAACAGUUGCAGAGGAAGUAUAAGCACCUCUCAGGACUGCCUCUUCAGCCCUUCAAGAGGGUUAAGCCACUUCUGCUCAUAGGCAGUGACCACCCCCACCUCUUGACUCCUACCCAGCCAGUACGACUGGGUCCACCUGGUGGUCCAGCCGCGGUACACACCAGGUUGGGCUGGGCCUUGCAGGGCCCCUCUAGUGUCAUAAGCCAGAUCUCCAGUCCACAGCACUGCUUCUUCACUUCAGUUCCCCCUCAAGUCACUGAGUUAAUGAGGAAUGUUGAGAAGCUGUGGCAAGUCGACCUCAUACCACUCAGGGGCAGCAAAGUGGCUACCCGCUCCAAGCAAGACAACCUUGCCAUCAGCCUGCUUGAAGGAAAGACGACCCGUGAAGAAGUGGAGGGCAUCUCUCGCCUCGCCACCCCGCUGCUACGGCACAAAGACAUGCCACGCCUUCAAGCCAUUCCCGAUGCAGUCCUACCAAGCCUCAGAGGAGUCGAGAGACGACUCCAGAGAGAUCCUGAGAAGGCCACGGUGUAUCGUGCUGAGAUCGACAAGUUGAUACAGGCAGGGUCCGUUGUAAAGCUAGACCCAUCAGAAAUAACCAGGGCAGAAGAGGCAUGGUACAUUCCCCACCACCUAGUUAGCCACAAUGGCAAACACCGACUUGUAUUCAACUGCUCGUACCAGUAUCGAGGUCAGAGCCUCAACGAACACCUCCUUCCUGGGCCUACUCUCGGAGCAUCUCUGCUGGGAGUCCUCCUCAGAUUUCGGGAGCAUGAAGUGGCUGUGAGUGGAGACAUAAAGAGCAUGUUCCACCAAGUUCGCCUGCUACCUGAAGACCGGCCUCUCCUGCGCUUUGUGUGGCGCAACCUACAGCAACACGAACCCCCUGCAGUGUACGAGUGGCAGGUGCUGCCCUUCGGCACGACUUGCAGCCCGUGUUGUGCUGUGUUCGCCCUGCAGCACCACACAAGAGAGAACACCCAGCCUGGAGAUGAGGUGAGGACUUCAGUGGAACGAUGCUUCUAUGUGGACAAUUGUCUGCAGUCCCUCCCUACCACCGGGGCUGCCAGAGACCUCGUGGACAAGUUGAGAGGUCUCCUGUCCUCAGCUGGCUUUGUACUUCGUCAGUGGGCCAGCAAUAUACCCGAAGUGAUCAGCCACCUACCUGAGGACCUCAGAUCCACCAGCACUGACCUCUGGUUGGCACAUGAGAAAACGGACAGUCCUGAAUCAACAUUGGGUCUCAGCUGGCAGUUCUCCACUGACAUCCUGGGAUACAAAUGUCGCCCUAUCCAGUACGAUGAGCCCACAAUGCGCAACAUCUACAAGGUGCUCGCCAGUCAGUACGAUCCCUUGGGCUUCAUCCUGCCCUAUACUACUAGAGCCAAGAUGCUAGUGAGAUGCCUUUGGGACAAGCAGAGAGGCUGGGAUGACCCCCACUUGCCCCCACAUCUCCUCAAGCAGUGGAGAGACUGGGAAGGAGAGUUACAGUUUCUCUCUCAAGUCUGCUUCAGUCGUCCAUACCUGCCCAAGGGCACAGCUGCUGCCAUAAACGAGAGAGAGCUUCACAUCUUCUGCGAUGCAUCGGAGCUGGCCUACGGAGCAGUAGCGUACCUCAGGAUGGUCGACAGCGACGGUGUACCACACCUGGCCUUCGUCAUGGCACGAUCCAGAGUGGCCCCUAGACGUCUACAGUCCAUGCCGAGGUUAGAGCUGUGUGGUGCCCUCACUGGAGCUCAGCUCUCCAAACUCCUGAAUGAUGAGCUUACCCUGGACAUCAAGAGAACCAUGCUCUGGACAGACUCCACAACCGUGCUGGCGUGGCUGAGGUCGGAAUCCUGCCGAUUCAAAGUCUUUGUCGGCACCCGUGUUGCUGAAAUUCAAGAUCUCACUCAGCAACACACAUGGCGGUACGUCGACUCUGCCCAGAAUCCGGCCGACGAUAUUACUCGCGGUAAAAGAUUGCAGGACUUAACCCAACCCAACAGAUGGAGCCAAGGCCCUCCGUUCCUCCUCCUACCUUGUGACCAGUGGCCAGCGCAGCCUCCGGGAAUCUUGGGAGAUCCUUCCGACUCUUCAGAGCUUCGCAAAGAGACCUUCUGUGGUGCCACCUCUACAGCUGUGAGUCAGGCAGACUCAGAGCUGAACCAGUACAACACCUGGAGGGAGCUGCUGAAGGCCACAGCCCUGAAGCUUCAUGGGGCGGCUGCAGAAGAUGGAUGUGCUUCUGCAGAUGAUUACCGUCAUGCAGAGACUCACCUUCUCCGACAGGUCCAACAAGACUGCUUCCCUGACGAGCUUCGUCUCCUUAAAGCAAAGAAACCAGUCCUACGGAGCAGCCAUCUCAGUAGCCUCUCUCCGGAACUUGACGAAAGCAGUGACCUCAUCAGAGUUGGUGGUCGACUCCGCAGGUCAGAAGACCUGGAUUACACCAGUCUACACCCAGUGGUGUUAGACCCCUCACACCCAGUGACCCGCCUGCUUAUUCAGGACUUCGAUUGUCGCUUGAAACACCCUGGGCCAGAGCGCGUCUUCGCAGAGAUCCGGCGUUACUACUGGAUUCUGCGAGGCCGAGAGGCAGUACGUCGCUUCCAGAAAACGUGUACAGACUGCCGCCGCUGGAAGGCGAAGCCUGCCGUCCCUCAAAUGGCUGAUCUGCCCUUAGCCCGCCUACGCCUGUUUAAACCUGCCUUCCACUCUACAGGCAUAGACUGCUUUGGGCCGUUUGAAGUCAAGGUGGGAAGGCGUCUGGAGAAGAGGUGGGGGAUCAUAUUCAAAUGUCUAACCGUCAGAGCGGUUCACCUUGACCUACUUAACUCCAUCGAUGGCGACUCCUUUCUCAUGGCCCUAAGAAGGUUUAUCGCCCGUAGAGGGACCCCUGCUGAGAUCUAUUCAGACCAGGGGACUAACUUCAAAGCUGGUGACAAAGAGCUACGAGAGGCAUUCGCAGCCAUGUCACCUGACCUCCAGUCCCUCCUGGCACCUUACAGAAUCAACUUCCACUUCAAUCCUCCCGCUGCUCCACACUUCGGAGGCGUGUGGGAGCGAGAGAUUCGCUCAGUGAAGAGCGCCUUGUACACCACUGUAGGUGCUCAGCCCCUUCAGGAGGAGGUCCUUCGGACAGUCCUCAUCGAAGUGGAGGCGAUCCUGAACUCCAAACCCUUGGGGUAUGUUCCCUCCGACGUUAGUGAUCCAGACCCGGUCACUCCCAAUUGCCUGCUGAUGGGGCGGUCCGAUGGGUCCCUCCCACAAGUCGUCUACCCCAGAGAUGAGCUCCUCAGCCAGCGGAGGUGGAAGCAUGCUCAGGUGAUGACCGACCACUUUUGGGCUCGCUUCAUCAGACUGUACUUACCUGGGCUGCAGCUCAGACAGAAGUGGCAGUCCUCCCCGGCCGACGUCACAGAAGGCUCUGUGGCAAUGAUCGUGGACCCCCAGCACCCUAGGGCCAUGUGGCCUAUUGGGCGCAUCGUAAAGGUCCACCCCAGUCUGGAUGGUCGCAUCCGGUCCGCGGAUGUGAAGGUCAGAGACCGCACCUACACGCGACCUGUCGCCCGGCUGGUGAUUCUGCCAGCCCUUCCAAAGGGUGAAGAGAGUCAUCCGAUUUAAUUAGCCUUUUCUUUGUUUCAAAUGUACUACAUACAUUUGGGGGCGGCUGUAGAAAAGGCUAUGGACAUUACAGACUUUUAGUCUGACAAGUAGUGGUUAUUUUACUGUACUUCCUUAGUUAGUUUAGGGACUCUUAUUUUGACAUUGCUAGUUUCAGGAUAUGACAUCACAUGUUCAUCCAUCUUUGUUUAGUUCAGAUGCCAUGCUUCAGAGUUACCUGACUUUCAUCCAAAGUAAUCCUUGUGUUUGUGUGCAUAAAUGACCAAAGAUCACGCAGAUGCAUUGUUAAAACCCAUGUAUGAUACCACCUAAAGUUAAUACAAGAAAGUCAAGUUUAAAUCAUCCAGUCUGGCGUCCUCCUUUCUGACCUAAUCCCCAUUCAACAUCCUUCUGGGCUUAAGUAGUGCUCUGGCCGGCACUCCUCUUGAUUGUGUCCGAUGGAAAACUGAACGGUGCAACCUAAUAGUUCAAAAUACAGUCCAACCACCUGCUAUCUUCC